UGUAAAAAGCGUCAAAGCUUAAUAGAGCCAAUAAUCAAUUCCAAUACCCUAAAAGAACCCUUUAAAUAAUACUGAGUAAUUCUAUACUAGUAUAGAAGAUUUUAUGUUAAAACUAGUAACAAGAAGAAGAACUUCUUAUAUAAUGCAAGUGUAAAUCAGACAGGACACCCCACUGACAAUUAUCACCAAUGAAGAAAAAGUAGCAACUCCACAAGAAAACCCUACUAAACUAAAUGUUAAUCUAACACCAGAGCAUUACAAAAAAGAUUAAAAGAAAGAGAAGGAACUCGGCAAAUAUUAACCUCGCCUGUUUACCAAAAACAUCGCCUCUUGAUUAAAUAUAAGAGGUCCAGCCUGCCCAGUGACUCUGUUCAACGGCCGCGGUAUCCUAACCGUGCGAAGGUAGCGUAAUCACUUGUUCUUUAAAUGUGGACUAGUAUGAAUGGCACCACGAAGGUUAUACUGUCUCCUCUUUCUAAUCAGUGAAACUAAUCUCCCCGUGAAGAAGCGAGGAUAUACCUAUAAGACGAGAAGACCCUAUGGAGCUUUAAACCAAAUAGCACUUGCACUAGCCUAAUAUAAAUUUCAGAAAAACCUCUUUCACCUAUGCAAGAUUACUGUUAGUUUUAGGUUGGGGUGACCGCGGAGCAAAAGACAACCUCCACAUUGAAAGGAACCCACUCCUCAGCCAAGAGUUACACCUCUACGCACCAUUAUAAUGACAUUAAUUGACCCAAUAUUUUGAUCAACGAACCAAGUUACCCUAGGGAUAACAGCGCAAUCCACUUCAAGAGCUCCUAUCGACAGUGGGUUUACGACCUCGAUGUUGGAUCAGGUAUCCCGGUGGUGUAGCCGCUACAAUGGUUCGUUUGUUCACGAUUAAACCCU
rnacentral:rRNA from 1 species